rnacentral:rRNA from 1 species
UACGUAGGUGGCAAGCGUUAUCCGGAAUUAUUGGGCGUAAAGCGCGCGCAGGCGGUUUCUUAAGUCUGAUGUGAAAGCCCACGGCUCAACCGUGGAGGGUCAUUGGAAACUGGAAAGCCUGAGUGCAGGAGAGGAGAGUGGAAUUCCAUGUGUAGCGGUGAAAUGCGUAGAUAUAUGGAGGAACACCGGAGGCGAAAGCGGCUCUCUGGUCUGUAACUGACACUGAGGCGCGAAAGCGUGGGGAGCAAACAGG